AUCCAGGACGAAUCCCAAAUAGGAUGAAACGCGCGUCCUGGAU
rnacentral:hammerhead_ribozyme from 1 species